rnacentral:rRNA from 1 species
UGGGGAAUAUUGGACAAUGGGCGAAAGCCUGAUCCAGCAAUGCCGCGUGAGUGAUGAAGGCCUUAGGGUUGUAAAGCUCUUUUUACCAGGGAUGAUAAUGACAGUACCUGGAGAAUAAGCUCCGGCUAACUCCGUGCCAGCAGCCGCGGUAAUACGGAGGGAGCUAGCGUUGUUCGGAAUUACUGGGCGUAAAGCGUACGUAGGCGGUGACUCAAGUCAGAGGUGAAAGCCUGGAGCUCAACUCCAGAACUGCCUUUGAAACUAGGUCGCUAGAAUCACGGAGAGGUGAGUGGAAUUCCGAGUGUAGAGGUGAAAUUCGUAGAUAUUCGGAAGAACACCAGUGGCGAAGGCGGCUCACUGGACGUGUAUUGACGCCGAGGUACGAAAGCGUGGGGAGCAAACAGGAUUAGAUACCCUCGUAGUCCCUGAGCGGGCUGGCAAGGCGCAU